UACGGAGGGUGCGAGCGUUGUUCGGAAUCACUGGGCGUAAAGGGCGUGUAGGCGGUCUGUUAAGUCUGAUGUGAAAGCCCGGGGCUCACCCCCGGAAGUGCAUUGGAUACUGGCGGACUCGAGUCCCGGAGAGGAGGGUGGAAUUCCUGGUGUAGCGGUGAAAUGCGUAGAUAUCUGGAGGAACACCGGUGGCGAAGGCGGCAUCCUGGACCGACACUGACACUGAGGAGCGAAAGCCAGGGGAGCAAACGGG
rnacentral:rRNA from 1 species